UACGUAGGGUGCGAGCGUUGUCCGGAAUUAUUGGGCGUAAAGAGCUUGUAGGCGGUUUGUCGCGUCUGCCGUGAAAGCCCAGGGCUUAACCCUGGGUCUGCGGUGGGUACGGGCAGACUAGAGUGUGGUAGGGGAGACUGGAAUUCCUGGUGUAGCGGUGAAAUGCGCAGAUAUCAGGAGGAACACCGAUGGCGAAGGCAGGUCUCUGGGCAUCUACUGACGCUGAGGAGCGAAAGCAUGGGGAGCGAACAGG
rnacentral:rRNA from 1 species